CCUGCUACGAGCUAAUGGAGGCUCCACUUCUUGGUCUCUUAUCAAAGGCCUUCCCUCUAUGCACAACACUUUCCUGGGUAAACAUUCAGGGGAGCAUUCUGAUACUGAGACAGCAAAGCCUGCACGAAGGCCCAGCAAUAGAAUGAGUCCGACUUACCUGUGAAAUGUGUACCUUCAUCGCGCUGCAGGGCAAGCAAACCCUACCCAAGUGUGUCGUUCCCACUGACUGAGGUUCUGGAAGCCAGAAGCUCUGCUUCACUGUCCCCUGUGUCUACCACUGGGGAGAGGCCAUAGAUGCUGCACGGGAGAGUGACUCAGGCCACCAGGUGACUUGGCUGUGGUUUCCUGUGACUCAAGCCUGCUAGACAGCUCCGGACAGAGGUGAACAGGAAACUAGGCCAGAGAAAAGCUAGAGGAAUGGAGAACAGCGGACACACAGACGUGCAGGAGGCUUCCAGCCCUGGCACUCGGGCCAAAAGGGCAGACAAACCCUGAACCCCAGACACUUGGGCCCUGAGUGGGCACAGCUAUUCUUACAUCAGCCUGAAGUCGUGGGUGAGGAAGAUGGGAGGACUGGCCACAUCCUUCCCAGAGCAGAGCUGGCCUAACAGAGGACGCAGGGAGAGUGGGUGAGAGGACGAAAUCCCGCUGUUUUCUUUCAGUAUUGGGGGAAAAAAGCCAAAACAAACCACGAUUGUUCUGAUGCCACGGCUCUUCCCCUCUGCCUUUUGCAUCCUUUCCUCCUUACCAACGUCCGUCUUACCAACGCUCAUCCGUGUCAGUGACAGACGGUCACCAGUGCAGUCCACCUCAGGACCCGAGGAACAGAAAUGGAAACGUCUGCUGCAUUUCCUUGAGAGCACAAUGACAUGAAGUGUCCAAGGGAAGAGCCUGCCACAACCCUAGACCUCCUCGUAGCCCAAAGCAGCUGCCUGGUCUCCACGGUCUCAGGACAACCACCAUGUCAGACAAGCAGGAGGGACUGGGCAGAGGAGUCGGUUGCUAAGGUGCUUGCUGUGAGCAUGAGGUCCAGGCAUCCUCCAGGCUUGCCUAAGAAGCUGUGUGUGUGUGGCAACACAUGACUUAACCCCCCCACCCCCCCAGGGGCCUGAGCUUUGCAGUAGGCGGUGGUCUGUCAUGUCCCUCAGGCUAGGCGAGACAGUGCAAUCUGGCUAACUCAGAAUCUCUGGCCCCACUGAGAUUCCACAGUUAAUGGAGCCUCAGUGGGGCCAUAUUAGGGAACCCUGCUGCAAGGGUGCACUGCUCUUCCCUAGAACCAGUCUGGCAUCUCUAACUUCCUGCCUCAGUGGAUUCUCAGGCCUGGAGAGGAGACUCUAUAAUUAGGCUAUUCUACUGUGGGAUUCCUCCCAACCUCAUGCCUUGCUGUUUUCCUCCAAUUGUCCGCGCCUUCCUUUCCCACCCACAAUGUGAAACUGGCUGUUGUGUGCACAGGAAAUGUGUUAAAUGAGCUGGUGUUUGUGUUACUGCCCGGUUGCAGGAGCUUCACUCCCUGGGGAAUGUCUGAAAUGUGGUCAGGCAGCCCGGCGCACAUUCCCACCAGCACUGUAGCAGAAGAUUGUCAUUAGCAGAAGGUCCUGUGAGAGCCAUGAUGCCUGUGGUCCCGUGAAGCGCAUGUGUGGGCACAGGCUUCAAGAUACAGGUCCGGUCUGCAGCCAGCACUGCUACUGCUGGAAGCUGAACCCCAGCUGUGUGAGUGCCGGCCCCAAACACCAGCAUCCACACCACAAAACUUACAGGCGUUGAAUGAAAAUAAGAAAAGAUAAUUUGAAUUGUGGAGGGUAAUGGGAGGUUCCCUGUAGGAGCCUGGAAAGUGAACUCCUUCAGAGUCUCCAGCACAUACGAAUCAGCUGAAACAGUGGAUGGAGCACGGGCCAAAUCCAGGUCACCACUUGUUUAAAUAAAGUUUUAUUGAGACACAGCCACACCUCCUUGUUUACAUGUCUUCUGUAACUUCUUGGUCUAGCAGGACUCUGUAGCUACAACAGACUGCAUGGCCCACAAGCCAAAAUAUCUCCUAUCUGACUCUGUAGAAAAGGUUUGAUGACUCUUGAUCUGACACAAACCCUUACACUCGUGUUUAUGUGAGGUCCGUGGUGGGUCACGAAGCUGAGCCACACCCGGUGAAUGGCUUCAGAGUGUCCAAUAAACAAACAUUAAUUCAAAAAUCUAAACAUAGUGCAAAUCCACAGUGCACCGGGUCUUCAUUCUGUGUUGCUCCCCAGCUCAAGGCUGAGGUCACAGCAGCCUUGAACACGUGACACAAACAGGUGACAUGAACAUGUGACAUGGGGAGUCCUUACCAUGCACACCACAUGACACCUAGAAGAUUGCGCGUUGUAAACUAAGGGGUGUACACUUACACACAACAGUUCUCUGCCCUCACAGAAGGGUUUGCAUAUGGAGAACAAGGACUUUCAGCAUCUUCAGUCAUUCCUAAGCACAUAAGCACAUCUUUAGAUUGUAUUGUAUUAGACAAGCAGGCCCUCUGUCUCAUGAAUACGCAAGUUUGCUUUCCUCUCCAACACGUUAGAUUAAAUGUAUGACAAGUUGCUUUAAAAUAA